rnacentral:tRNA from 1 species
GCGCUCGUAGCUCAGCUGGAUAGAGCACCAGGCUUCGGUCCUGGGUGUCGGAGGUUCGAAUCCUUCCGGGCGCG